rnacentral:rRNA from 1 species
GAUGAACGCUGGCGGCGUGCCUAAUACAUGCAAGUCGAGCGAACAGACGAGGAGCUUGCUCUUUGACGUUAGCGGCGGACGGGUGAGUAACACGUAGGUAACCUACCUAUAAGACUGGGAUAACUUCGGGAAACCGGAGCUAAAACCGGAUAAUAUUUCGAACCGCAUGGUUUGAUAGUGAAAGAUGGCUUUGCUAUCCCUUAUAGAUGGACCUGCGCCGUAUUAGGUUGUUGGUAAGGGAACGGCUUACCCAGGGAACGAUACCUAACCCAACCUAGAGGGGUGGUGGCCCACACGGAAAUGGGGACACGGUCCAGACCCCUAGGGGAGGCAGCGGUAGGGAACCUUCCGAAAGGGGCGAAAGCCUGACGAGCAACGCCGCGUGAGUGAUGAAGGUCUUCGGAUCGUAAAACUCUGUUAUUAGGGAAGAACAAACGUGUAAGUAACUGUGCACGUCUUGACGGUACCUAAUCAGAAAGCCACGGCUAACUACGUG